GUCUUUUUGAAUUAAAUUUAAAGUCUAACCUGCCCACUGAAAAUUUUAAAUGGCCGCAGUAUUCUAACUGUGCAAAGGUAGCAUAAUCAUUAGUCUUUUAAUUGAAGGCUGGAAUGAAUGGUUGGACGAAAUAUUAACUGUUUCAUUUAAAUUUUUUAUAGAAUUUUAUUUUUUAGUCAAAAAGCUAAAAUAAAUUUAAAAGACGAGAAGACCCUAUAAAUCUUUAUAUUUUAUUUAUUUUAAUUAUAAAGAUUAUUUUUAUUAUAAUAAAUUAAAAUAUUUUAUUGGGGUGAUAUUAAAAUUUAAAAAACUUUUAAUUUUGAAAACCAUUAAUUUAUGAAUAAUUGAUCCAUUAAUAAUGAUUAAAAAUUUAAGUUACUUUAGGGAUAACAGCGUAAUUUUUUUGGAGAGUUCAUAUCGAUAAAAAAGAUUGCGACCUCGAUGUUGGAUUAAGAUAUAAUUUUGGGUGUAGCCGUUCAAAUUUUAAGUCUGUUCGACUUUUAAAUUCUU
rnacentral:rRNA from 3 species